CAGAGUUAUCCAACUCCCAAACCCAUGUGAACUUAUCUCUUUGUUGCCUCGGCGCAAGAUACCCGGGACCUCGCGCCCCGGGCGGCCCGCCGGCGGACAAACCAAAACUCUUGUUAUCUUAGUUGAUUAUCUGAGUGUCUUAUUUAAUAAGUCA
rnacentral:misc_RNA from 1 species